UACGUAGGUGGCAAGCGUUGUCCGGACUUACUGGGCGUAAAGAGCGCGCAGGCGGUCGUGCAAGUCGCGUGUGAAAGCCCCCGGCUCAACUGGGGAGGGUCACGCGAUACUGCUCGACUUGAAGGCAGGAGAGGGAAGUGGAAUUCCCGGUGUAGUGGUGAAAUGCGUAGAUAUUGGGAGGAACACCAGUGGCGAAGGCGGCUCACUGGACCGGAACUGACGCUGAGGCGCGAAAGCGUGGGGAGCAAACAGG
rnacentral:rRNA from 1 species